CCGGGGAAGCAGGUCUAGUAGGAGCCCAGGUGCAGGGGAUACAAGGGGCUCUGUCUGUACCCCACGAUGCAUUAUGGUCUGGGGUUGUUACAGACAGGCGCAGGAAUAAACCACAGACAACAGAUCAGGAUUAAGAGUUGUAUUGAAUACGAUGGUACAACAAUAUAUAUGCAAUGGAAGUUACUUGGCAGGAAGCCCUCUUGCGGGGCACACAGCAGGUAAGCCCUCUUGCGGGGCACACGGCAGGUACUGGAGCAAGGCAGGAACCAAACAGGUAGUCCUCUGACUUCAAUGUCAAGGCCCAGACUGCAGGGUUGGGCAGGCUUAUAAAGGCUGUGAUAAUCAGGUAGCAAGGUGCACCUGGACAUGAUAAUCAGCCAGAGUGGUCUGAGUGGCAAGGGCGGCCACUAGUGGUCGGCAAAUGAAAAUGAACAACAAAGUUUGAACAAGUCCAGCUAGCGCAUGGUGAAACGUGACAGCCACUCAAAGAUGGCACGUAACCAAAAUAACCAAGUUGCGAAAGUUUCUAAGAGGAUCUCUCCAGACCCUCUUGAGA